rnacentral:misc_RNA from 1 species
ACUACAGUUGCUGCAGUUUACGGAGUAGGACGCCGCUAAUUCUUACCAGCUGUCAGAGGAUCGGAAGCGGGGGGAACAAAAUGGCCAGCUACAUAGAUUACGAGGAUCCAGCUUGGACCUACGUUUAUGUACCGGCAUAUAGCUACGAUGACGAACCUUUGGGUUUCUUCAUCAACCCAAGAGAAAACAUGUACAGCGGUGUCCGAAGUUACGAUGACAGUACCUUCGACAUUCGUCGUCGUCGCCUCUGUUCCCACCUUCCGAAGAUCCCCCUCUGCUGGUAAAUACGCCAGACAGCUAAGGUUUGACAGUAGAACCAGCUGGGUCCCAUUCCCAUCUCCAAAAGAAGAUGAAUUUUCCGUAAACCUUGACCUGAAAACGGACGCAUUGAAUCGUGUCCUCCUACGGCGAGACAUUGACACCGCGCUGCGAUCAUCGUACGCCAACAAGGGGAGAUCGGCGGUGCGUUCGAAGAGGGAUUUUGAUCUAUCAGAGUUGCAAAGGCUUGAUAGAAAGCAAGAUCAAAUUUCGAGAUAUCUUAGAGAUUUUAAGCGUGAUGCUAUCAGAGCAAAAUAUCAAAGCAGAUUUAGAUAUUACUGAGGAGACGAUGAAGAGGAACCUAUAUGUUUAAGCAGCCUUUGACCUUUUAGAUUGUUACUCUGAAUGUUAUGAACUUAAAAGCAACUGUGACGGUAUUUAUGCUUUUCAUGCAUUAAUAAAGAAUGCCAAUAUCCAUCC